GUGACCUCAAAUCAGGUAGGACUACCCGCUGAACUUAAGCAUAUCAAUAAGCGGAGGAAAAGAAACUAACAAUGCAUUCCCCUAGUUACUGCGAGUGAAGCGUGAAUAGCUCAAACUUCAAAAUCUGACAGUCUACGCUGUCAGAGUUGUAUCUAGAGAAGUGUAUACGCGCUGGACCGAGUACUAGCCUCCUGAAUGGAGUGUCAUAGAGGAGAGCAUCCCGUCUAUGAGACGGACUACGGGGCUCUGUGUGCGUCUCAAAAGUCGAGUCGCUCGGGACGCAGCUCAAAUGCUGGAAGUGCAUCUAAGCUAAAAAUGC
rnacentral:rRNA from 1 species